CAGUCGCCGCGGUAACACGUAGGGUGCGAGCGUUAAUCGGAAUUACUGGGCGUAAAGCGUGCGCAGGCGGUUAUAUAAGACAGUUGUGAAAUCCCCGGGCUCAACCUGGGAACUGCAUCUGUGACUGUAUAGCUAGAGCACGGUAGAGGGGGAUGGAAUUCCGCGUGUAGCAGUGAAAUGCGUAGAUAUGCGGAGGAACACCGAUGGCGAAGGCAAUCCCCUGGACCUGUACUGACGCUCAUGCACGAAAGCGUGGGGAGCAAACAGGAUUAGAUACCCGUGUAGUCCCUGUCUCUUAAAC
rnacentral:rRNA from 1 species